rnacentral:rRNA from 1 species
AACGAACGCUGGCGGCAGGCUUAACACAUGCAAGUUGAACGGGAUUUGUUGGGUGCUUGCAUCUGACAAUGAGAGUAGCGCACUGGUGAGUAACACGUGGGAACAUGCCUUUUGGUGGGGGACAACAGGAGGAAACUUCUGCUAAUACCGCAUAAGCCCUAAGGGGGAAAGAUAUAUUGCCGAAAGAUUGGCCCGCGGAAGAUUAGGUAGUUGGUGGGGUAAAGGCCUACCUUGCCGACGAUCUAUAGCUGGUCUGAGAGGACGAACAGCCACAUUGGAACUGAGACACGGUCCAGACUCCUACGGGAGGCAGCAGUGAGGAAUAUUGGGCAAUGGAGGAAACUCUGACCCAGCCAUGCCGCGUGAGUGAAGAAGUUUUCGAAUUGUAAAGCUCUUUCGGAUGUGACGAUGAUGACGUACAUCUAAGAGCCCCGGCAACUUCGUGCCAGCAGCCGCGGUAUACGUAUGGUGCAGCGUUAUCCGGAUUUACUAGGUGUAAAGGAGCGUAAACGGCAAGCAAGUCUGAUGGUGAAGCUAUGGGCUCACCCCUAACCUGCAUUGGAAACUGUUUACUUUAUGUCGAAGGAAGUGAAUUCUCCGUACGCGCGAUGCGUGAAUAUAAGAACUUGCAGCUUUGGCAAUACUUAGUUACUGUGGACAAAAUACUGUGCCCCCGACUGGGUGUGUGC